rnacentral:rRNA from 1 species
CCUACGGGAGGCAGCAGUAGGGAAUCUUCCACAAUGGACGAAAGUCUGAUGGAGCAACGCCGCGGGAGUGAAGAAGGGUUUCGGCUCGUAAAGCUCUGUUGGUAGUGAAGAAAGAUAGAGGUAGUAACUGGCCUUUAUUUGACGUUAAUUACAUACAUAGUCUCGGCUAAAUACGUGCCAGCAGCCGCGGUAAUACGUAGGUGGCAAGCGUUGUCCGGUGUUAUUGGGCGUAAAGCGAGUGCAGGCGGUUCAAUAAGUCUGAUGUGAAAGCCGUCGGCUCAACCGGAGAAGUGCAUCAGAAACGGUUGAACUUGAGUGCAGAAGAGGAGAGGGGAACUCCAUGUGUAGCGGUGGAAUGCGUAGAUAUAUGGAAGAACACCAGGGGCGAAGGCGGCUCUCUGGUCUGCAACUGACGCUGAGGCUCGAAAGCAUGGGUAGCGAACAGGAUUAGAUACCCUAGUAGUC